rnacentral:rRNA from 1 species
AUACGUAGGGAGCGAGCGUUGUCCGGAAUUACUGGGUGUAAAGGGAGCGUAGGCGGGAGUGCAAGUCAGAUGUGAAAUGCAUGGGCUUAACCCAUGAGCUGCAUUUGAAACUGCAUUUCUUGAGUGAAGUAGAGGUAAGCGGAAUUCCUGGUGUAGCGGUGAAAUGCGUAGAUAUCAGGAGGAGCACCGGUGGCGAAGGCGGCUUACUGGGCUUUUACUGACGCUGAGGCUCGAAAGCGUGGGGAGCAAACAGGAUUAGAUACCCUGGUAGUCCACGCUGUAAACGAUGAUUACUAGGUGUGGGGGGACUGACCCCUUCCGUGCCGCAGUUAACACAAUAAGUAAUCCACCUGGGGAGUACGGCCGCAAGGUUGAAACUCAAAUGAAUUGACGGGG